GAUUUGAGAUUUGGGUCUGAGAAGCUGAAGCAAUUAGGAAGAGGAGCUGCUUGAGAGACCCAGAGCUGAAUUUCUUGACUUUUGAGACAUGUUAGUGGAAAUCCUGUCAAAGAGGUAACAGAGGCUACUGAAGAAAUUCAGGUCACCGAGACAAAAAGUAGAAAGAGAGUAUCAGGAAUGUUCCCACUCAAGGCCAAAUGGAGAAUGAAAGCAAUUACGAAAAUGGAAGGAUAUUUCCAGGACUGAAGAACGUCAACUAGCAGCUGUGGUUAAACAGUAUAGGAAGCAUAUAUACAGAUUUAAGCUGUGGUCAGCUGAGAGACCCUAGCACCCAGAAUAAGGCAUGCGAAUGAGCCAUUUUAGAAGCUGACCCUCUAACCAUGUUCAAGCUUUCAAAUGACUGCAACCACUGCUGACAUGCUAAAUGCAACCACAUGAGAAACCCUGAGGCAGAAAAACCCAGGCUAGAGUACAAAUGUGAAUAACAUCACAUGCCAAUCAUUCAGGAGUUAUUCAAUAUGCACUGAUGACCCCAAGAGCAGUGAAAAUAACCGUGACAGAAGCUUCCUGAUGACUGGUAUUCUUAAAUGGGUGAAAUCGGAUUAAAAUGGCCAGCAUGAAGAGGCAUCAGAAUGGGGAAGAUGCAGUCUUGCUGUCACCCAGGCUGGAGUGCAGCGGCACAAUCUCCAGUCACUACAACUUCCGCCUCCCGGGUUCAAGCGAUUCUCCUGCCUCAGCUUCCUGAAUAGUUGGGAUUACAGUGAAGCCUAAAGAGUCAUCCUCCAACCUUGACAACCCUUCACCAUUAUAAUGGAACAAGUCCCAGAUGAGAACAACAGCCAUCUCAGGCAGUCACAACUUUCUGCAGUAGAAAUUCAAUGAGAGCCUCUGAUGGAUACAAAACACUGUGUUGGGAGCUGCGGUGACAAGAUCGAACGGACACAGAUGACCCUUUCAAAAAAUAAAAAGAGCUCAAGAGUCAUAACAAAAGAUGUGAACAAACAUCACCAAUGAGAGGUACAAGGUGAUCAGAGGCAUGAUGGUCUAAGUUUUCAGGAAAAGGAGCAGCUACUUCCAGUUGGUAGAGCAUUAAGGAAAUGCUGCAAAAGGAAUUGAACUUCAAAUUGUACCUUGGAGAUGGGGAUUGAGUAUGGACAGAAGAAGAUGAAAUGAGGACUGUUGUUGAGCUGAGAGCUAAUAAAUCAGCUUUCUAUUUCAUUUGUUCAUUCAUCCAUUUUACAAAUAUUAAUCAAAAUCUUCUAUGUGCCACAUUAUACUAUGCUCUAAAUAUGAUGUUGUGAAAAAAAGACACAGCCUGUAACUUAAUGGUGCUUAAAAGUCUAAUAUCAUCUAUCCACCUGCUUUUUCUUAGGCCUUAUUGGAAAAUUCAGGAAAUAUACAAUUUUGGAACUCAUCAGAACAUAGACUGAAUAGUCCAGGACAGACCAUAUGGCUUGCUAAUUGGUUACAUAUAAGUCAUCACCAUAGGUUU
ensembl:lncRNA novel transcript